rnacentral:rRNA from 1 species
CAAUAAGCGGAGGAAAAGAAACCAACAGGGAUUGCCCCAGUAACGGCGAGUGAAGCGGCAACAGCUCAGAUUUGGAAUCUGGCCCCCAGGGCCCGAGUUGUAAUCUGGAGAGGAUGUUUCUGGCGCGGCGCCUUCCGAGUUCCCUGGAACGGGACGCCGGAGAGGGUGAGAGCCCCGUACGGUUGGACGCCAAGCCUUUGUGAAGCUCCUUCGACGAGUCGAGUAGUUUGGGAAUGCUGCUCAAAAUGGGAGGUAAAUUUCUUCUAAAGCUAAAUACCGGCCAGAGACCGAUAGCGCACAAGUAGAGUGAUCGAAAGAUGAAAAGCACUUUGAAAAGAGGGUCAAACAGUACGUGAAAUUGUUGAAAGGGAAGCGCCCGUGGCCAGACUUGCGCCCUGCGGAUCAUCCGUCGGCUUUACCGGCGGUGCACUCCGCUGGGCGCAGGCCAGCAUCGGUUCUUCUAGGGGGAUAAAGGCGGCGGGAACGUGGCUCCCAUUGGGAGUGUUAUAGCCCGUCGUGCCAUGCCCCUGGGGGGACCGAGG